AAGAGCGCGGAAAAACUGCCAAAGGAACUGCCAGAUUGCUUCUAGAGGCAAGUUAGCCCAUGUGGAAGUACCCCCACCUGAAAAGUGAGAGGGAGAAGACAGCUGUGUCUGGGGAACCUUCAACCUUUCACUUAUUGGAUUUUGCUGUGGCCAAACAGGUAUCUGGCUUUUCUGAUUAGGAACAAGCAAAAUAUGUUACACAUAUGAAAAUCUCUGGAGCAGGAGGAUUCUUCGACUUCCUUCAGUUGAAGAAAGUAACCCCCCAGCUAAAGGAGAAUGUUUGGACUGUAACCCCAACGUUUACUUUUAAUGGAUUUGAGAAGCUCAGUAAAAAAAAGAUAAACAGAAGGAUGUUGGCAGCAAAACUACUGAUAGAUAAAUACUGGAAGCCAAGUAGAUUGCCAAGCACUGAGGAGCGGCAUAUAAAGAUAUGGUGGGUUAUACUUAUGGAGAAACAACAAGUACAGUUAAGAAAAUGUGAGUAAAACGAUACUGUCAAUAGCAUAAGAAAUAAUUAUAUGGUUAUUUUAAAGAUGGUCACUUCAGCUAGCUAAAAGAAAAUGAAAACCAAGUAGGUCGAAUAGUCCUACCUCAUGUGUCUUCCCUCUUUUCCUUUUUCUGUAUUGAAGCUUGGUUGGUACGUUCUUUUUAAAUCUCACAUUGUAUGUGUAUGUUAAUUAUCAUGAGUGAUAUGGUCUUUAGUGUUAUGAAUUCUAAGAUGUAUUUCAAUGUAUAUUUUGUCUUAAUAAAAUAAAUUUUAAAAAAUGGCA